UACGUAGGGGGCAAGCGUUGUCCGGAUUUAUUGGGCGUAAAGAGCGUGUAGGCGGCCAGGUAGGUCGGUUGUGAAAACUGGAGGCUCAACCUUCAGACGUCGACCGAAACCAUCUGGCUAGAGUCCGGGAGAGGAGAGUGGAAUUCCUGGUGUAGCGGUGAAACGCGCAGAUAUCAGGAAGAACACCCGUGGCGAAAGCGGCUCUCUGGAACGGUACUGACGCUGAGACGCGAAAGCGUGGGGAGCGAACAGG
rnacentral:rRNA from 1 species